ACACUAAAUCCAUCCACUGGAUUUGUGUUGGGCGCUUGCCCUUUUUGGCAUCGCCUCAAAGUCGUCUGUCUAACGAGCGGAUGGGAUCCUUUUGGACUGACCGUUUGUGGGACAAUAAAUUUUCUCUGA
rnacentral:misc_RNA from 1 species